CAGUAGCCGCGGUAAUACGAAGGGUGCAAGCGUUACUCGGAAUUACUGGGCGUAAAGCGUGCGUAGGUGGUGGUUUAAGUCCGUUGUGAAAGCCCUGGGCUCAACCUGGGAAUUGCAGUGGAUACUGGAUCACUAGAGUGUGGUAGAGGAUAGUGGAAUUUCCGGUGUAGCAGUGAAAUGCGUAGAGAUCGGAAGGAACAUCUGUGGCGAAGGCGACUAUCCGGGCCAACACUGACACUGAGGCACGAAAGCGUGGGGAGCAAACAGGAUUAGAUACCCCGGUAGUCCCUGUCUCUUAUAC
rnacentral:rRNA from 1 species